GCAUGCAACCCAACAAAUUUUCGUUGGGCAUUAAUGGAGUCGCUAACUUUUUUAGUCACUAAAUGGCCUAAAGUCAAAGAAAAGAUAAUCAAAUACAGGAGAGAAAUAAGCAGCAGCAUGCCUCCGACUUACUUGAGCAUCAGCACCCGAAGAAACCAAGAUAUUGAGAUUAGUGGAAAAAGCUAAACCAGUAAUUCUCUUCUGGUGACCCUUCAGUUUUGAUUUCACCUAGAAAAAC
rnacentral:misc_RNA from 1 species